GGGUGUGACUAGUGACAGAGAGAGGGAGGGGGUGACUAGUGACAGAGUGAGGGAGGUUGUGACUAGUGACAGAGUGAGGGAGGUUGUGAUUAGUGACAGAGGGAUGGAUGGGGUGACUAGUGACAGUCACCACCUCCUUCGCUCUGUCACUAGUCACCCCCUUCCUCACUCUGUCACUAGUCACCCAUUCCCUCCCUCACUCUGUCACUAGUCACCCCCUCUCUCACUCUGUCACUAGUCAUCCCCUUCCUUACUGUCACUAGACACCCCCUCCCUCUCUCUGUCACUAGUCCCACCC